AAAUACAUAAAUAAGUAAAAAAGUCUCAAUUAUCUUUGAAUGAAUACUUGAUAAUCAUAGCUUAAAUUUACCUCUGUUUCUUAAUUAAGUUAAGAAUAGGUAAUCUGGAAAAUAUUAAUAGAAUAAAAGAGCACGACCAUGAAUUGCCACCGAGCUUAGGAUCGCUAUGAUUAGCUCCAGAAACUUUAUUAUGAUCAUAUGAUUGUUGAAGCUCUAUAACUACGUAUGGUUUUGACAGCUCAUUUUUAGUGCAAAUAUACUGGAGAUUUCCUAUGCGAUUCCGCUGACUCGGAUAUGCCUCCAUAGAUCGCACUCCGUCACUAGCAGUCAGACAAAAGAUGAUAUCAUAAGACGAAUUACAUACGGAAUUCAUAGGGAACGGAUGUGUUGAUGGAACGAAUAAAUGCCCUUUAAGUGAAGCAAUUUUCACUAAUUGGAGAAAAAAGUACAUCCUGAACGGAUUGGGUCAGGGUCGCCAAGUUGUGGAAAAAUAGAAUUGAGGAGAUUUCGAUGGCAUAAGCAUUUUAUGAUGCAACGCCCUUUAAGACCAUUCGCAGAAAAGCUGAAAAGUUGAAUUAAGUUUUGCGAAAUUCGCGGUGUUCGUGGUUAGAUAGAAAUCCGGAAGUAAUUGAAAUAACUGGAAGUUUACUUUUUCGAUUUAGCGGACUCUUUC